CAGUAGCCGCGGGAACACGUAGGGUGCAAGCGUUAAUCGGAAUUACUGGGCGUAAAGCGUGCGCAGGCGGUUAUAUAAGACAGAUGUGAAAUCCCCGGGCUCAACCUGGGAACUGCAUUUGUGACUGUAUAGCUAGAGUACGGCAGAGGGGGAUGGAAUUCCGCGUGUAGCAGUGAAAUGCGUAGAUAUGCGGAGGAACACCGAUGGCGAAGGCAAUCCCCUGGGCCUGUACUGACGCUCAUGCACGAAAGCGUGGGGAGCAAACAGGAUUAGAUACCCCAGUAGUCCCUGUCUCUUAUAC
rnacentral:rRNA from 1 species